rnacentral:lncRNA from 1 species
AAGUACCCUUUAGUCAACUCCAUUAUUUGAGCAACAUGUUUUCUUCCUCUUCCUAUCCAUCUAACGUGAACUUCUUUCUUCUUCUCCUCCAUUUUAACUUGAGCCUCUCUUUCUCUUCUCUUUGUUUUCUUCACUUAUACUCACUAAAUCCACCAAUUUGACACCAUUCAACUUGAUCUAAUUAAUCAAUCUUUGAGAUUAAAGCUUGAGAAAUGAUAUUUGGUGAAUAAUUUCAAGUAAUUUGGAGGACAAAGGGUGGAGAACUUCCUACCAAAGACAAGGGAAAACUAAGGCAUCAAGAGUCUUAUUUAAGCUUGUUAGAGCUUAUGUUUAAGGUAAGUGUUCAUAAAUCCUCUUACCUUGUUUAAAUUUUUGAUUUUGUGAAGUUUAUACUAUUUUGUGAAAAUUGGAAAUUUUAUAUGAAAUAAUUUGAUUAUUGAAUUUUGGUGGUAUAAAUGUGUUCUUGGGAGAUUUCUAAGCAUGCUUAUAUGUUGAAUUGAUGAGGAAAACAUUUUCUUCUUCAUCCUCCAAGAGUGGCAGAACCUAUUGAUGAAUAAGGCCUUAAGUUUUCUUGUUAUUAUUUGUGGAUUUAUGAUCUUAAGAUGAUAUUUGAUGAGUAUUUAGUAUGUGGUAGAAAUCUCUACCUUGUAUAUGAUUUAAGUAAGCUGAAAUUAGGAAAAAAUGUUAUUGGGUGUGAUUAAGGACUAUAUUUCGAUCCCUUGCAUUUCCCAUUAGUGUCUGAGUCCUUCAUGAAAGUUGUAGGUCUGCUCCUUAGCUUUCCAACCCAUCCUCUUGUGUCCAAGUUGGAUACAUAUAGCUCAACUUAUGGCUAAAACACCUAAACUAACUCUGUUAUGACGGGCCACAUGCAUUACUGAAUUGAGUGCCCAUUUUGACCACUAUAAUGGUAAUAUUAUGUUCUGAGUUCUUCAUAACAGUUGUUUCCCUGUGUCUUGAGACUUCUCUGGUUUUGGAUUGGUUUGAUUUGAGUGUUUGGAUAAGUAGGAAUUUGAUAAACAUUGAAAUUAGUUCGGCUGAAUCAGGUCUAGACUGUUGGUCUGUGUUCCUAGCUUUUGUUUGCCACAUUCAUAUUGAUCUGGGCUGUUGUCCCUCCAUAAUGUUUGUAGCAUUUUGUCUUAGCUUUCUAAUGAAUCAAACAUCACUCAAUUUGGAGACACAGAACUUAAGUUAUGUCUUAAAAACCCAGCAAAGGUCAAGAUUAUAUUAAUGCUGGAAAUUUUCUAUGUCAUGAAUCAUAGGUUUAUUUGGAUAAAUGNNN